CGCAGGCGGUUGUGCAAGACCGAUGUGAAAUCCCCGAGCUUAACUUGGGAAUUGCAUUGGUGACUGCACGGCUAGAGUGUGUCAGAGGGGGGUAGAAUUCCACGUGUAGCAGUGAAAUGCGUAGAGAUGUGGAGGAAUACCGAUGGCGAAGGCAGCCCCCUGGGAUAACACUGACGCUCAUGCACGAAAGCGUGGAGAGCAAACAGGAUUAGAUACCCUGGUAGUCCACGCCCUAAACGAUGUCAACUAGUUGUUGGGGAUUCAUUUCCUUAGUAACGUAGCUAACGCGUGAAGUUGACCGCCUGGGGAGUACGGUCGCAAGAUUAAAACUCAAAGGAAUUGACGGGGACCCGCACAAGCGGUGGAUGAUGUGGAUUAAUUCGAUGCAACGCGAAAAACCUUACCUACCCUUGACAUGCCACUAACGAAGCAGAGAUGCAUUAGGUGCUCGAAAGAGAAAGUGGACACAGGUGCUGCAUGGCUGUCGUCAGCUCGUGUCGUGAGAUGUUGGGUUAAGUCCCGCAACGAGCGCAACCCUUGUCUCUAGUUGCUACGAAAGGGCACUCUAGAGAGACUGCCGGUGACAAACCGGAGGAAGGUGGGGAUGACGUCAAGUCCUCAUGGCCCUUAUGGGUAGGGCUUCACACGUCAUACAAUGGUGCAUACAGAGGGUUGCCAAGCCGCGAGGUGGAGCUAAUCCCAGAAAAUGCAUCGUAGUCCGGAUCGUAGUCUGCAACUCGACUACGUGAAGCUGGAAUCGCUAGUAAUCGCGGAUCAGCAUGCCGCGGUGAUACGUUCCCGGGUCUUGUACACACCGCCCGUCACACCAUGGGAGUGGGCUUUACCAGAAGUAGUUAGCCUAACCGCAAGGAGGGCGAU
rnacentral:rRNA from 1 species